AGUUCACGCUUUGUAUGGUUUACCUAUAGAAUUAUAGAAUGGCAACAUCAGAACUAUGACCAACAGGAUACUACCACGGACCACUAUAAGGCCUACCAUAAAACCAUCAACAACAAAUGCUUUUGGUGACACUGACCUUAUUGAAACAAAAGUGAGACCGAGUAAUUCUAUUGAUAUAAAUUGAAGUUUAGACACCAUAAUCAAAUUUACCAGUAAGUUUAGAGAGAAUGAGUUAAUUAAGCCUAAAAACUUGCAACAUCAAGAGGGAGAAACAAUUUGGUAUGUAUAAAACAUCAAAAUUUCUGCAUGUCAGAAACUCAACAGGAGAGAAUCAAACAACAAAGAGAUAAAAAAAA
rnacentral:misc_RNA from 1 species